rnacentral:rRNA from 1 species
UACGGGGGGGGCAAGCGUUGUUCGGAAUUACUGGGCGUAAAGAGCGUGUAGGCGGCCAGGCAGGUCUGUUGUGAAAACUGGAGGCUCAACUUCCAGACGUCGACAGAAACCGCUUGGCUAGAGUCCGGAAGAGGAGAGUGGAAUUCCUGGUGUAGCGGUGAAAUGCGCAGAUAUCAGGAAGAACACCGAUGGCGAAGGCAGCUCUCUGGGACGGUACUGACGCUGAGACGCGAAAGCGUGGGGAGCGAACAGG